CUGCACAGCCAUAUCACCCUGCUGCCAAAGACCGGUUACUCACUGAAGCUAAGCAGGGCUGAGCCUGGUCAGUACCUGGAUGGGAGACCACAAGGGAACACUAGGUUGCUGUUGGAA
rnacentral:rRNA from 1 species